UGGCUGUCGUCAGCUCGUGUCGUGAGAUGUUGGGUUAAGUCCCGCAACGAGCGCAACCCCUAUCUUCAGUUACCAUCAGUUCGGCUGGGGACUCUGGAGAGACUGCCGGUGAUAAGCCGGAGGAAGGCGGGGAUGACGUCAAGUCCUCAUGGCCUUUAUGAGCUGGGCUACACACGUGCUACAAUGGCGGUGACAAAAGGAUGCGAAAGGGUGACCUGGAGCCAAUCCCAAAAAGCCGUCUCAGUUCGGAUUGUUCUCUGCAACUCGAGAACAUGAAGUUGGAAUCGCUAGUAAUCGUAGAUCAGCA
rnacentral:rRNA from 1 species